GUACCUUCAAGCUCUGCUUGGUGUUGGGUGUUUGUCUCGCCUUUGCGUGUAGACUCGCCUCAAAACGAUUGGCAGCCGGCGUAUUGAUUUCGGAGCGCAGUACAUCUCGCGCUUUGCACUCAUAACGACGACGUCCAAAAAGUACAUUUUACAC
rnacentral:misc_RNA from 1 species